AUGGCUGAAGCUUUGGCGUUAAAAUUUGGUCUAUCGCUUGCGCAAAGGACGGGUUGUAAUCGCAUAAUUAUUAACUCGGACAAUAUGAAGGUUAUCGAGACCAUGAACAAAGGAGGACGAUCGUCGGGGGCAGCAGCUGUAAUUUUUGAUGACUGUUUUCACUUAGCUUGCGAUUUUUCUAUUUCUAAAUUCGAGCAUUGUAAUAGAGAAGCAAAUAAAGUUGCUCAUGAACUUGCCAAGUUAGCUAGAUUUUCCUUCAUUUCUGAUUGGUUCGAGGAACCACAUAAUGCAAUUGUACCAAUCCUCAUAAAUAAUGUAAUUAUUAUUUCUAAUGAAUAA
rnacentral:rRNA from 1 species